UGGAGACUUAAUGCACAGUAUAGUGACUACAGUCAGCAAUCCUGUAUUAUAAACUCCAAAGUUGCUAAGAGACUAGAUCUUAAUUGUUCUCACCACAAAAAAGAAACGCUGAUCACAUGACGUGAUAGAAGUGUCAGCUCGUGCUAGGACGGCAAUCGCAUCACAAUAUGCAAACGUAUCAAGUUAACCCAGCGCACACCUUAAACGUACACAAUGUUAUUUGUCAGUUAUAUCUCAGUUAAAAAUAUAGCAAGUACGCAGAAAUUAACAGUUCCUGGUGCAUAGAAACAUCUGAAUAAAUGUUAGCACUGAUGACUCGAGUUUUUAAGUGAGUUUUUAAGUGACUAGAGUUUUUAAGUGACUGGAGUUUAAAGUGGAUGCUUUGCAACAGGGCAGAUACCAACAGUCAUCCAGCAAAUACCUACAAGCACCUUCCCUGCGCAAGACCACGGUCAGAUCUUUGUCUGCGACUCCGCUAAAACCCACCCGCGCCCCUUUGUAAAUGCCGCCCCAUGUUUACAAUGUUUUCUAACGUUGUUGCUUUGCAGGAACACCAGACAAGGCAGAAGGAAAAUGAAUAAGCCGAACAGGUUAUUGCUGACAGCUUACGGGAACUCUUCUGUCUCCCAAGUUUGAAAAAGUGAAGCUGUUCCUGUUCAUCCCCAGGAAGAUGGGCUGUCGGCUGGCUAGCAAAAAGAGCUGUGUGAUAUUUGCAAAUGAAAAGUACACCACUCAAGGAAAGAAAAGAACUGAGGUAAUCCAAAAGAAAGUAUUUGGGGACUUCCAGAAGAUUCUCGAGCCAACAAAAAUAUACCCCAAUGCCAAAGCACUCCCUCACGAAAGUCAAUAUGUGAAAAUGUGAAUAUUAUUUUGGAUGCCGUUGUGCUAACCCAAGUGUGUUAAGAACUUCUACGCAUCGUCCUGACAAUGUCCGCGCUUUGAUAACCAAAUCAGAAAAAAAAAGAGCGCAGAAACACGGAAUCAUAGAAACCUCUAGACGGAUGCAUAACGCCGGCAGUAGUCUUAAAACACCCCCAAGAAAUGUUCUCAAGUGUGGUUCUCAGCUAACUGUUCCUGCACGAGGAAAGGAAGACGCAAGCUGAUGUACACACACGUUUAGGUCUCUUAUUUCAACGACACGGAUUUGAAUUUGUUGAAAUAUCUUCCAUUGUCCACCAGUCCCCAAGGAAAACAGGAAAACAGGGACCCAGGUUGGCACUCCACCUCAUUUGGCCCAUGCUUCUGUGAAAUCAUAGACUUUUCGAGCUGGAAAAUUCACAGGGUCGCCUUGCUCUGUUUUUCACUUUGUAGAGAAGAAACUUGAGUCCGAGAAGCACGCUGUGUGCUCGGGCCUCACAGCUCAUUAGGAACACGACCCAGGCCCUUUCUUGGGCUGCUGGAAACUGAAUGCUUCUGCAGCACCUUAACAUCGUAUGAAUAACUUGUAAAAUGUAUACAUACAUGGAGCAUGGGUGCCGUAGAAAAGAUCAUCUAUAUCCUAGUACCCAAAUAAAUCAUUGUUUUCAUCUUUUUUUAAGAUUUUG
rnacentral:lncRNA from 1 species